GAUGAACGCUGGCGGUGUGCCUAAUACAUGCAAGUCGAGCGAACAGACGAGGAGCUUGCUCCUCUGACGUUAGCGGCGGACGGGUGAGUAACACGUGGAUAACCUACCUAUAAGACUGGGAUAACUACGGGAAACCGGAGCUAAUACCGGAUAAUAUAUUGAACCGCAUGGUUCAAUAGUGAAAGACGGUUUUGCUGUCACUUAUAGAUGGAUCCGCGCCGCAUUAGCUAGUUGGUAAGGUAACGGCUUACCAAGGCAACGAUGCGUAGCCGACCUGAGAGGGUGAUCGGCCACACUGGAACUGAGACACGGUCCAGACUCCUACGGGAGGCAGCAGUAGGGAAUCUUCCGCAAUGGGCGAAAGCCUGACGGAGCAACGCCGCGUGAGUGAUGAAGGUCUUCGGAUCGUAAAACUCUGUUAUUAGGGAAGAACAAAUGUGUAAGUAACUAUGCACGUCUUGACGGUACCUAAUCAGAAAGCCACGGCUAACUACGUG
rnacentral:rRNA from 1 species